rnacentral:rRNA from 1 species
UACGUAGGGGGCAAGCGUUGUCCGGAUUUAUUAGGCGUAAAGAGCGUGUAGGCGGCCAUUCAGGUCAGCUGUGAAAACUCGAGGCUCAACCUCGAGACGUCGGUUGAAACCGUUUGGCUAGAGUCCGGAAGAGGAGAGUGGAAUUCCCGGUGUAGCGGUGAAAUGCGCAGAUAUCGGGAAGAACACCCGUGGCGAAGGCGGCUCUCUGGGACGGUACUGACGCUGAGACGCGAAAGCGUGGGGAGCGAACAGG